GCCCGGGGGGGGGGCUUAUACAUGCAAGUCGAGCGAACUGAUUAGAAGCUUGCUUCUAUGACGUUAGCGGCGGACGGGUGAGUAACACGUGGGCAACCUGCCUGUAAGACUGGGAUAACUUCGGGAAACCGAAGCUAAUACCGGAUAGGAUCUUCUCCUUCAUGGGAGAUGAUUGAAAGAUGGUUUCGGCUAUCACUUACAGAUGGGCCCGCGGUGCAUUAGCUAGUUGGUGAGGUAACGGCUCACCAAGGCAACGAUGCAUAGCCGACCUGAGAGGGUGAUCGGCCACACUGGGACUGAGACACGGCCCAGACUCCUACGGGAGGCAGCAGUAGGGAAUCUUCCGCAAUGGACGAAAGUCUGACGGAGCAACGCCGCGUGAGUGAUGAAGGCUUUCGGGUCGUAAAACUCUGUUGUUAGGGAAGAACAAGUACGAGAGUAACUGCUCGUACCUUGACGGUACCUAACCAGAAAGCCACGGCUAACUACGUGCCAGCAGCCGCGGUAAUACGUAGGUGGCAAGCGUUAUCCGGAAUUAUUGGGCGUAAAGCGCGCGCAGGCGGUUUCUUAAGUCUGAUGUGAAAGCCCACGGCUCAACCGUGGAGGGUCAUUGGAAACUGGGGAACUUGAGUGCAGAAGAGAAAAGCGGAAUUCCACGUGUAGCGGUGAAAUGCGUAGAGAUGUGGAGGAACACCAGUGGCGAAGGCGGCUUUUUGGUCUGUAACUGACGCUGAGGCGCGAAAGCGUGGGGAGCAAACAGGAUUAGAUAC
rnacentral:rRNA from 2 species